UACGUAGGGGGCAAGCGUUGUCCGGAUUUAUUGGGUGUAAAGAGCGUGUAGGCGGCCUGAAAGGUCAGCUGUGAAAACUCGAGGCUCAACCUCGAGACGUCGGUUGAAACCAUCUGGCUAGAGUCCGGAAGAGGAGUGUGGAAUUCCCGGUGUAGCGGUGAAAUGCGCAGAUAUCGGGAAGAACACCCGUGGCGAAGGCGGCACUCUGGGACGGUACUGACGCGUGAGACGCGAAAGCGUGGGGAGCGAACAGG
rnacentral:rRNA from 1 species